GAUGAACGCUGGCGGCGUGCCUAACACAUGCAAGUCGAACGGACGGACGAUAAGGUUGUUCCCUUGCUGUUAGCGGCGGACGGGUGUGUAACGCGUGGAUCGUCUUCUUCUUUUUCUUGGAUGAUUACGUGAAACAGGAUACAAUACCACAUGAUCUUUUGUACCGGUUGGUUCAUUGGUUAAUGGCGGUGUUGGGGGAUGUUAUAGAUGGUUUCGAGUUGGCUUAGCUAGUUGGUAAGGUAACGGCUUACCAAGGCAACGAUGCUUAGCCGACCUGAGAGGCGGAUCGGCCACACUGGAACUGAGACACGGUCCAGACUCCUACGGGAGGCAGCAGUAGGGAAUCUUCCGCAAUGGGCGAAAGCCUGACGGAGCAACGCCGCGUGAGUGAAGAAGGUCUUCGGAUCGUAAAGCUCUUUUAUGAGGGAAGAACAUAUGUAGAAUAAACUGUGGACAUCUUGACGGUACCUAAUCAAAAAGCCACGGCUAACUACGUG
rnacentral:rRNA from 1 species